rnacentral:rRNA from 1 species
CACGUAGGGGGCAAGCGUUGUCCGGAUUUAUUGGGCGUAAAGAGCUCGUAGGCUGUUCGAUAAGUCGGGUGUGAAACCUCCAGGCUCAACCUGGAGACGCCACCCGAUACUGUCAUGACUAGAGUCUGGUAGGGGAGCGUGGAAUUCCUGGUGUAGCGGUGAAAUGCGCAGAUAUCAGGAGGAACACCAGCGGCGAAGGCGGCGCUCUGGGCCGGUACUGACGCUGAGGAGCGAAAGCGUGGGUAGCAAACAGG